ACUCAAAGGAAUUGACGGGGGCUCACACAAGCGGAGGAGCAUGUUGUUCAAUUCGAAGCAACGCGAAGAACCUUACCCAGACUUGACAGCUUGGUUGUAAAACUCUGAAAAGGGAAUGACCUUAGGGAGCCAAGUACAGGUGCUGCAUGGCUGUCGUCAGCUCGUGUCGUGAGGCGUUAGGUUAAGUCCUGUAACGAGCGAAACCCUUGUCGUCUGUUGCCAGCGGGUCAUGCCGGGCACUCUGACGAGACUGCCGGUGUUAAACCGGAGGAAGGUGAGGACGACGUCAAGUCAUCAUGGUCCUUACGUCUGGGGCUACAAACGUGCUACAAUGGCGAGUACAGAGAGACGCAAUAUCGCGAGAUGGAGCAAAUCUUCAAAACUCGCCCCAGUUCAGAUUGAAGGCUGCAAUUCGCCUUCAUGAAGUCGGAUUCGCUAGUAAUCGCGGAUCAGCUACGCCGCGGUGAAUACGUUCCUGAGCCUUGUACACACCGCCCGU
rnacentral:rRNA from 1 species